CCUACGGGUGACAGCAGUGGGGGAUAUUGGACAAUGGGGGGAACCCUGAUCCAGCGACGCCGCGUGAGUGAAGAAGUAUUUCGGUAUGUAAAGCUCUGUCAGCAGGGAAGAAAGAAAUGACGGUACCUGACCAAGAAGCCCCGGCUAACUACGUGCCAGCAGCCGCGGUAAUACGUAGGGGGCAAGCGUUAUCCGGAAUUACUGGGUGUAAAGGGAGCGUAGACGGUUAAGUAAGUCUGGAGUGAAAGGGCGGGGCCCAACCCCGGGACUGCUCUGGAAACUAUUGAACUUGAGUGCAGGGGAGGUAAGCGGAAUUCCUAGUGUAGCGGUGAAAUGCGUAGAUAUUAGGAGGAACACCAGUGGCGAAGGCGGCUUACUGGACUGUAACUGACGUUGAGGCUCGAAAGCGUGGGGAGCAAACAGGAUUAGAUACCCCAGUAGUC
rnacentral:rRNA from 1 species